rnacentral:lncRNA from 1 species
AUGAAGCUGGGUGGCCUCUGCCUCCUGCUCCUCCUCGCCGUCCUUCUCACCCUCAAUGCAGAGUUCCAAGCAGUUGAUGUAGGUAUCUGUGUGACGGAGUGCAAGGUAGACCAGGACUGUGGGGCAGGAAGACGAUGCACCAGCAAUGGAUGUGGCCGGGUCUGCUCCCCAGUCCGGCGAAGAGAGGCCUGCGAGCACCAGUGCAGAGAAGACAGGGACUGUGGGAGUGGACAUCAGUGCGUGAGGAAGGGCUGUGGGCACGUCUGCGCCCCCGUCCAUCAAGUCGAUGUAGGUAUCUGUGUGACGGAGUGCCGUGUAGACCAGGACUGUGGGGAAGGAAGACUAUGCAUCAGUAAUGGGUGUGGCCGUGUCUGCUUCCCAGGGCGAAGAGAGGCCUGCGAGCACCAGUGCAGAGAAGACAGGGACUGUGGGAGUGGACAUCAGUGCGUGAGGAAGGGCUGUGGGCACGUCUGCGCCCCCGUCCAUCAAGUCGAUGUAGGUAUCUGUGUGACGGAGUGCCGUGUAGACCAGGACUGUGGGGAAGGAAGACAAUGCACCAGCAAUGGAUGUGGCCGUGUCUGCUCCCCAGCCCAGCAAAGAGAGGCCUGCGAGCACCAAUGCAGAGAAGACAAGGACUGUGGGAGUGGACAUCAGUGCGUGAGGAAGGGCUGUGGGCACGUCUGCUCCCCCAUCCCUCAAGUAGGUGAGUCUGGACUUUCUGUAGAGUGAAAUGGACUUGAGCUUUCAAGGCAAAUGUCCUUGGAUUCAAAUCCCAACUCUGCUGUUGACCAGACAGCCCCUUCAUGUCCUCAAUCUAUGAAAUACAAAAUAAGAAAACUUACCAGUUAAAGCCCAUUUUGGUUACCAUUAACCUGCUUUCUUUGCAG